GGGCCUCUCCGGGGGCCGUCACCCUUGCCUGCACCGUGCCCCCGUCACGGUCCCCGAACCUCGCUUGGCUUCCCAGGCCGGGAGCAGCCCAGGAGAAAGCAGC